rnacentral:rRNA from 1 species
UCCGGGGGGGGCCUAACCACAUGCAAGUCGAGCGGUAGCACAGAGAGCUUGCUCUCGGGUGACGAGCGGCGGACGGGUGAGUAAUGUCUGGGAAACUGCCUGAUGGAGGGGGAUAACUACUGGAAACGGUAGCUAAUACCGCAUAACGUCGCAAGACCAAAGAGGGGGACCUUCGGGCCUCUUGCCAUCAGAUGUGCCCAGAUGGGAUUAGCUAGUAGGUGGGGUAAUGGCUCACCUAGGCGACGAUCCCUAGCUGGUCUGAGAGGAUGACCAACCACACUGGAACUGAGACACGGGCCAAACUCCUACGGGAUGUUUUAUUGGGGGAGUAUUGCAUUAUGAU